UCUCCUCUGGGCUCAGCCUGGGCAGCCA
rnacentral:piRNA from 1 species